UUUAUGUGCCUGAGCCCCCCUCAGCCAGCCGGCGGCCGGGCCCAGGGGGAUGUUUGGUCUGAGGGAGAGCACCGGAGGGCUGAGACACAGCACUGCCUCGCACGAGGUCCCCGUACUUCAGCAACCAGAAGUGGUAGCACGCUCCUGCGAAGUAUGCACCAAAAUCCUUCACAGAGACUGGUACAGGACCAGCAGAUAUGGACACAGCCAACUCAUCACUUAUGGUUAACCAUCAAGACUACAAGGCUCCACUCCAAGAAACAGCAGCACUAGUAUUUUAAGUUAAAUUUGUUGCUUUCCUCCUUCAGCCUGCCAUAAUACAACUAGAACAGCAAACAAAGGAAGAUUAGUGUGUGCAAUACCAGAGAAAUCAGGUAAGCAAAACAGCUGCAGGUAUCGAGUCUUCAAAUGCUGCAAGGUAUUACUUGAAAGUGAUUAUUAUUGUGGCUGUUUUAGUGAUUUACAAUCCUUAAUGGCAAAUGAAGGAAUGAGGAUGUUUGAACUUCUAAUACAGUUUAGUUUGUGUCAUUCUGUAAGGAUGAGGGAAAAAAAAAAUCAAGGACUUUUGCCUAUAGCAGCUAUUGCUCCAAUUGCCCUGGUGCAGGACCCUUCUUACUGCAAGGGCAAACCCAAAAAGUAAACACCUAAACUAUGGAUCUAGUGAAAGUACAGUGACAGGAGAACUAGCAGGCAAGCAUUCAUCUCUGGAGUGGAAUUUUGCUUUCUCCAGUUUUCCAGAAAUCUAAGCAACAGUCCAGAUGCACUUCCCACUGUGAUUGCUGCACACAACAGGAUGGAAAGUUUUGUUUGUACAACCAGGAUAGUAUGUGAAAAAUACUACUUUUAAAACUAGCAGGAAGCUUUAAGAGUAAUUUUUCUCUUUGGGAUUAUUUUAUUAUUUUAAAGGGGGGGGGGGGAAAUUGAGAGACUGUCUAGAUUACUGCUGGUUAAAAGCGUACCAAUUUCCCCCGUAAAUUACAGUAUCUACAUUGUUAGACAGUUAGAUCUUGCACUAUUUUUAGUAUUUCUCUUCUUUCCCAAAGGUGUAGUUCCUUGGCCAAAUACUACAGGGAAGCCAUCUUUUUCUAAUUAUAGGUGCCCAGUUUACUAAUUUUUUACCUUUCUGAUGCAAGUCACAAGAAUCUCUAGGUGAAAUAAAAACCAACUAGUUUAUCUUAAUAUCA
rnacentral:lncRNA from 1 species